AGGACGAACGCUGGCGGCGUGCUUAACACAUGCAAGUCGAGCGGUAAGGCCUUUCGGGGUACACGAGCGGCGAACGGGUGAGUAACACGUGGGUGAUCUGCCCUGCACUUCGGGAUAAGCCUGGGAAACUGGGUCUAAUACCGGAUAUGACCUCCGAUCGCAUGGUUGGUGGUGGAAAGAUUUAUCGGUGCAGGAUGGGCCCGCGGCCUAUCAGCUUGUUGGUGGGGUAAUGGCCUACCAAGGCGACGACGGGUAGCCGACCUGAGAGGGUGACCGGCCACACUGGGACUGAGACACGGCCCAGACUCCUACGGGGAGGCAGCAGUGGGGAAUAUUGCACAAUGGGUGAAAGCCUGAUGCAGCGACGCCGCGUGAGGGAUGACGGCCUUCGGUUGUAAACCUCUUCAGCGAGGGACGAAGCG
rnacentral:rRNA from 1 species